rnacentral:rRNA from 1 species
CACGUAGGGCGCAAGCGUUGUCCGGAAUUAUUGGGCGUAAAGAGCUCGUAGGCGGUCUGUUGCGUCCGCUGUGAAAACCCGGGGCUUAACCCCUGGCUUGCAGUGGAUACGGACAGACUAGAGGUAGGUAGGGGAGAAUGGAAUUCCCAGUGUAGCGGUGAAAUGCGUAGAUAUUGGGAGGAACACCAGUGGCGAAGGCGGCUCACUGGACCGGAACUGACGCUGAGGCGCGAAAGCGUGGGGAGCAAACAGG